CCACAAACGCACACGCACAUACAGCACCCACACACAUACAGCACCCAUAGACAUACACAUCACCCACACACAUUCAGCACCCACACACAUUCAGCACCCACACACAUUCAGCACCCACAUACAUACACAGCACCCACAUACAUACACAGCACCCGCAGACAUUCAGCACCCGCAGACAUUCAGCACCCGCAGACAUUCAGCACCCGCAGACAUACAGCACCCACACACAUUCAGCACCCACAUAAUUCAGCACCCACAGACAUACACAGCACCCACAGACAUACAGCACCCACACACACACA